rnacentral:rRNA from 1 species
AGAACGAACGCUGGCGGCAGGCCUCAAACAUGCAAGUCUAGGGGGCGUAGCAAUACGUCACCGGCGGACGGGUGCGUAACACGUGGGAAUGUACUUAUUGGUUCGGAACAACUCAGGGAAACUUGAGCUAAUACCGAAUGUGCCCGAAAGGGGAAAGAUUUAUCGCCAGUAAAUCAGCCCGCGUCCGAUUAGCUAGUUGGUGGGGUAAAGGCUCACCAAGGCAACGAUCGGUAGCUGUUCUGAGAGGAAGAUCAGCCACACUGGGACUGAGACACGGCCCAGACUCCUACGGGAGGCAGCAGUUGGGAAUCUUGGACAUGGGGAACCUGAUCCAGCCAUGCCGCGUGAGUGAUGAAGGCCUUCGGGUUGUAAACUCUUUCGACGGGACGAUAUGACGGUACCGUAGAAGAGCUCCGGCUAACUUCGUGCCAGCAGCCGC